rnacentral:rRNA from 1 species
AUUGAACGCUGGCGGCAGGCCUAACACAUGCAAGUCGAACGGUAACAGGAAGCAGCUUGCUGCUUCGCUGACGAGUGGCGGACGGGUGAGUAAUGUCUGGGAAACUGCCUGAUGGAGGGGGAUAACUACUGGAAACGGUAGCUAAUACCGCAUAAUGUCGCAAGACCAAAGAGGGGGACCUUCGGGCCUCUUGCCAUCGGAUGUGCCCAGAUGGGAUUAGCUUGUUGGUGGGGUAACGGCUCACCAAGGCGACGAUCCCUAGCUGGUCUGAGAGGAUGACCAGCCACACUGGAACUGAGACACGGUCCAGACUCCUACGGGAGGCAGCAGUGGGGAAUAUUGCACAAUGGGCGCAAGCCUGAUGCAGCCAUGCCGCGUGUAUGAAGAAGGCCUUCGGGUUGUAAAGUACUUUCAGCGGGGAGGAAGGGAGUAAAGUUAAUACCUUUGCUCAUUGACGUUACCCGGAGAAGAAGCCCCGGCUAACUUCGUGCCAGCCGCCGCCGUAA